UUAAGCGACUAAGCGUACACGGUGGAUGCCCUGGCAGUCAGAGGCGAUGAAGGACGUGCUAAUCUGCGAAAAGCGUCGGUAAGGUGAUAUGAACCGUUAUGGCCGGCGAUGUCCGAAUGGGGAAACCCAGUGCAAUUCGUUGCACUAUCGUUAACUGAAUACAUAGGUUAACGAGGCGAACCGGGGGAACUGAAACAUCUAAGUACCCCGAGGAAAAGAAAUCAACCGAGAUUCCCCCAGUAGCGGCGAGCGAACGGGGAGCAGCCCAGAGUCUGAAUCAGCUUGUGUGUUAGUGGAACGGUCUGGAAAGUCCGACGGUACAGGGUGAUAGUCCCGUACACCAAAAUGCACAGGUUGUGAACUCGAAGAGUAGGGCGGGACACGUGGUAUCCUGUCUGAAUAUGGGGGGACCAUCCUCCAAGGCUAAAUACUCCUGACUGACCGAUAGUGAACCAGUACCGUGAGGGAAAGGCGAAAAGAACCCCGGCGAGGGGAGUGAAAAAGAACCUGAAACCGUGUACGUACAAGCAGUGGGAGCACCUUCGGGUGUGACUGCGUACCUUUUGUAUAAUGGGUCAGCGACUUAUAUUCUGUAGCAAGGUUAACCGUAUAGGGGAGCCGCAGGGAAACCGAGUCUUAACUGGGCGUUAAGUUGCAGGGUAUAGACCCGAAACCCGGUGAUCUAGCCAUGGGCAGGUUGAAGGUUGGGUAACACUAACUGGAGGACCGAACCGACUAAUGUUGAAAAAUUAGCGGAUGACUUGUGGCUGGGGGUGAAAGGCCAAUCAAACCGGGAGAUAGCUGGUUCUCCCCGAAAGCUAUUUAGGUAGCGCCUCGUGAACUCAUCUUCGGGGGUAGAGCACUGUUUCGGCUAGGGGGUCAUCCCGACUUACCAACCCGAUGCAAACUACGAAUACCGAAGAAUGUUAUCACGGGAGACACACGGCGGGUGCUAACGUCCGUCGUGAAGAGGGAAACAACCCAGACCGCCAGCUAAGGUCCCAAAGUCAUGGUUAAGUGGGAAACGAUGUGGGAAGGCACAGACAGCCAGGAUGUUGGCUUAGAAGCAGCCAUCAUUUAAAGAAAGCGUAAUAGCUCACUGGUCGAGUCGGCCUGCGCGGAAGAUGUAACGGGGCUAAACCAUGCACCGAAGCUGCGGCAGCGACACUAUGUGUUGUUGGGUAGGGGAGCGUUCUGUAAGCCUGCGAAGGUGGCCUGUGAGGGUUGCUGGAGGUAUCAGAAGUGCGAAUGCUGACAUAAGUAACGAUAAAGCGGGUGAAAAGCCCGCUCGCCGGAAGACCAAGGGUUCCUGUCCAACGUUAAUCGGGGCAGGGUGAGUCGACCCCUAAGGCGAGGCCGAAAGGCGUAGUCGAUGGGAAACAGGUUAAUAUUCCUGUACUUGGUGUUACUGCGAAGGGGGGACGGAGAAGGCUAUGUUAGCCGGGCGACGGUUGUCCCGGUUUAAGCAUGUAGGCGGAGGUUCCAGGUAAAUCCGGUACCUUUUAACGCUGAGGUGUGAUGACGAGGCACUACGGUGCUGAAGUAACAAAUGCCCUGCUUCCAGGAAAAGCCUCUAAGCAUCAGGUAACAUUAAAUCGUACCCCAAACCGACACAGGUGGUCAGGUAGAGAAUACCAAGGCGCUUGAGAGAACUCGGGUGAAGGAACUAGGCAAAAUGGUGCCGUAACUUCGGGAGAAGGCACGCUGGUGUGUAGGUGAAGUCCCUGCGGAUGGAGCUGAGACCAGUCGAAGAUACCAGCUGGCUGCAACUGUUUAUUAAAAACACAGCACUGUGCAAACACGAAAGUGGACGUAUACGGUGUGACGCCUGCCCGGUGCCGGAAGGUUAAUUGAUGGGGUUAUCCGUAAGGAGAAGCUCUUGAUCGAAGCCCCGGUAAACGGCGGCCGUAACUAUAACGGUCCUAAGGUAGCGAAAUUCCUUGUCGGGUAAGUUCCGACCUGCACGAAUGGCGUAAUGAUGGCCAGGCUGUCUCCACCCGAGACUCAGUGAAAUUGAACUCGCUGUGAAGAUGCAGUGUACCCGCGGCAAGACGGAAAGACCCCGUGAACCUUUACUAUAGCUUGACACUGAACAUUGAGCCUUGAUGUGUAGGAUAGGUGGGAGGCUUUGAAGCGUGGACGCCAGUCUGCGUGGAGCCAACCUUGAAAUACCACCCUUUAAUGUUUGAUGUUCUAACGUUGGCCCGUAAUCCGGGUUGCGGACAGUGUCUGGUGGGUAGUUUGACUGGGGCGGUCUCCUCCCAAAGAGUAACGGAGGAGCACGAAGGUUAGCUAAUCCUGGUCGGACAUCAGGAGGUUAGUGCAAUGGCAUAAGCUAGCUUGACUGCGAGCGUGACGGCGCGAGCAGGUGCGAAAGCAGGUCAUAGUGAUCCGGUGGUUCUGAAUGGAAGGGCCAUCGCUCAACGGAUAAAAGGUACUCCGGGGAUAACAGGCUGAUACCGCCCAAGAGUUCAUAUCGACGGCGGUGUUUGGCACCUCGAUGUCGGCUCAUCACAUCCUGGGGCUGAAGUAGGUCCCAAGGGUAUGGCUGUUCGCCAUUUAAAGUGGUACGCGAGCUGGGUUUAGAACGUCGUGAGACAGUUCGGUCCCUAUCUGCCGUGGGCGCUGGAGAAUUGAGGGGGGCUGCUCCUAGUACGAGAGGACCGGAGUGGACGCAUCACUGGUGUUCGGGUUGUCAUGCCAAUGGCACUGCCCGGUAGCUAAAUGCGGAAGAGAUAAGUGCUGAAAGCAUCUAAGCACGAAACUUGCCCCGAGAUGAGUUCUCCCUGAGACUUUAAGUCUCCUGAAGGAACGUUGAAGACGACGACGUUGAUAGGCCGGGUGUGUAAGCGCAGCGAUGCGUUGAGCUAACCGGUACUAAUGAACCGUGAGGCUUAACCUU
rnacentral:rRNA from 1 species